GGAAGGACAAGUGGCUGAGGGGUACUCAGUCUACGAGCAGAUGCGGAAAUCCUACGCAACCCGACCCCUGCACCUUCAGCAAGCAGAGCAGAUCUAAGGUUGUAAAUUAAAAUCUCUGGGAGGCCAGGAAGUGGUGAUGAGGAAAGAAAGACAAUACUACGACUGCUGAGAGAAGAGGCAGUAUACAUCUCUACUCCUGCACGCCCAGCGCCUGGAGCAGCCACUGGCGGACAGCAGGCAUACCCAGGAAACACGUGCCGCAAACCAGGCAAAUCUUACCUUGCAAAGUAGAAUUGGGGGAAAGCCAGGGAGAGCCUACCACACCGGUUCUUCCUGUGUCCGUGGAAAAGGCCCAACUUGAACCUUCCUAUAAAGACUUCCCAAGUGAUAAAAAGAUAUGAAGGGCUAUCUGCUGAGCUGCUACGCUGGCCUUUCCACUGGAUAUCAA